UCGCUGACGAGUGGCGGACGGGUGAGUAAUGUCUGGGAAACUGCCUGAUGGAGGGGGAUAACUACUGGAAACGGUAGCUAAUACCGCAUAACGUCGCAAGACCAAAGAGGGGGACCUUCGGGCCUCUUGCCAUCAGAUGUGCCCAGAUGGGAUUAGCUAGUAGGUGGGGUAACGGCUCACCUAGGCGACGAUCCCUAGCUGGUCUGAGAGGAUGACCAGCCACACUGGAACUGAGACACGGUCCAGACUCCUACGGGAGGCAGCAGUGGGGAAUAUUGCACAAUGGGCGCAAGCCUGAUGCAGCCAUGCCGCGUGUAUGAAGAAGGCCUUCGGGUUGUAAAGUACUUUCAGCGGGGAGGAAGGGAGUAAAGUUAAUACCUUUGCUCAUUGACGUUACCCGCAGAAGAAGCACCGGCUAACUCCGUGCCAGCAGCCGCGGUAAUACGGAGGGUGCAAGCGUUAAUCGGAAUUACUGGGCGUAAAGCGCACGCAGGCGGUUUGUUAAGUCAGAUGUGAAAUCCCCGGGCUCAACCUGGGAACUGCAUCUGAUACUGGCAAGCUUGAGUCUCGUAGAGGGGGGUAGAAUUCCAGGUGUAGCGGUGAAAUGCGUAGAGAUCUGGAGGAAUACCGGUGGCGAAGGCGGCCCCCUGGACGAAGACUGACGCUCAGGUGCGAAAGCGUGGGGAGCAAACAGGAUUAGAUACCCUGGUAGUCCACGCCGUAAACGAUGUCGACUUGGAGGUUGUGCCCUUGAGGCGUGGCUUCCGGAGCUAACGCGUUAAGUCGACCGCCUGGGGAGUACGGCCGCAAGGUUAAAACUCAAAUGAAUUGACGGGGGCCCGCACAAGCGGUGGAGCAUGUGGUUUAAUUCGAUGCAACGCGAAGAACCUUACCUGGUCUUGACAUCCACGGAAGUUUUCAGAGAUGAGAAUGUGCCUUCGGGAACCGUGAGACAGGUGCUGCAUGGCUGUCGUCAGCUCGUGUUGUGAAAUGUUGGGUUAAGUCCCGCAACGAGCGCAACCCUUAUCCUUUGUUGCCAGCGGUCCGGCCGGGAACUCAAAGGAGACUGCCAGUGAUAAACUGGAGGAAGGUGGGGAUGACGCCAAGUCAUCAUGGCCCUUACAACCAGGGCUACACACGUGCUACAAUGGCGCAUACAAAGAGAAGCGACCUCGCGAGAGCAAGCGGACCUCAUAAAGUGCGUCGUAGUCCGGAUUGGAGUCUGCAACUCGACUCCAUGAAGUCGGAAUCGCUAGUAAUCGUGGAUCAGAAUGCCACGGUGAAUACGUUCCCGGGCCUUGUACACACCGCCCGUCACACCAUGGGAGUGGGUUGCAAAAGAAGUAGGUAGCUUAACCUUCGGGAGGGCGCUUACCACUUUGUGAUUCAUGACUGGGGUGAAGUCGUAACAAGGUAACCGUAGGGGAACCUGCGGUUG
rnacentral:rRNA from 1 species